rnacentral:rRNA from 1 species
AGAGUUUGAUCAUGGCUCAGAUUGAACGCUGGCGGCAGGCCUAACACAUGCAAGUCGAGCGGUAGAGAGAAGCUUGCUUCUCUUGAGAGCGGCGGACGGGUGAGUAAUGCCUAGGAAUCUGCCUGGUAGUGGGGGAUAACGUUCGGAAACGGACGCUAAUACCGCAUACGUCCUACGGGAGAAAGCAGGGGACCUUCGGGCCUUGCGCUAUCAGAUGAGCCUAGGUCGGAUUAGCUAGUUGGUGAGGUAAUGGCUCACCAAGGCGACGAUCCGUAACUGGUCUGAGAGGAUGAUCAGUCACACUGGAACUGAGACACGGUCCAGACUCCUACGGGAGGCAGCAGUGGGGAAUAUUGGACAAUGGGCGAAAGCCUGAUCCAGCCAUGCCGCGUGUGUGAAGAAGGUCUUCGGAUUGUAAAGCACUUUAAGUUGGGAGGAAGGGUUGUAGAUUAAUACUCUGCAAUUUUGACGUUACCGACAGAAUAAGCACCGGCUAACUCUGUGCCAGCAGCCGCGGUAAUACAGAGGGUGCAAGCGUUAAUCGGAAUUACUGGGCGUAAAGCGCGCGUAGGUGGUUUGUUAAGUUGGAUGUGAAAUCCCCGGGCUCAACCUGGGAACUGCAUUCAAAACUGACUGACUAGAGUAUGGUAGAGGGUGGUGGAAUUUCCUGUGUAGCGGUGAAAUGCGUAGAUAUAGGAAGGAACACCAGUGGCGAAGGCGACCACCUGGACUAAUACUGACACUGAGGUGCGAAAGCGUGGGGAGCAAACAGGAUUAGAUACCCUGGUAGUCCACGCCGUAAACGAUGUCAACUAGCCGUUGGAAGCCUUGAGCUUUUAGUGGCGCAGCUAACGCAUUAAGUUGACCGCCUGGGGAGUACGGCCGCAAGGUUAAAACUCAAAUGAAUUGACGGGGGCCCGCACAAGCGGUGGAGCAUGUGGUUUAAUUCGAAGCAACGCGAAGAACCUUACCAGGCCUUGACAUCCAAUGAACUUUCUAGAGAUAGAUUGGUGCCUUCGGGAACAUUGAGACAGGUGCUGCAUGGCUGUCGUCAGCUCGU